GAGGGUAGCGCUCAGCGGUGGAGUGCGUGCCUAGCAUGCACGAGGUCCUGAGUUCAAUCCCCAGUACCUCCA
rnacentral:tRNA from 1 species